UCUGCAAUGCUAUGUUCAUCUUUCAAAGCCUACUGUACAGUCUGAUGCCUUCAAGAACGGUCUCCUGAUUCUGUGGAAGUUAGACAUAGAAUUACUCUCUGCUGGCUGACAUGCAGAUGGCGACCUCCUGAAACAGACCUGGCAUCUUGAUUAAAAGAUGUAGCUAACAAUUACAAAAAUGGCCUCAUGAAAGAUCUCCCCUCUCCCCCAAGAAACGAAGCAGUACCACCCAUCAGCUAAAGACACAGAGGGUCAUAGAUUGUCAACAUGAAGGGACCUCUGACCUAUACUGAAUCAAGAAUCUUCUUCUACAACACACCUUAGAAGUGAUCCUCCGUCCUUGACCUCCUCUCUGAAGUCUUCUUCUUUGAAGGUCAGUGAAGGAACCCAAGAAGAGCCUGGAUUUUCACUGCUGGGAACAUUCUUCUGAUCUGCUUUGACAUGCUGGAUUUGGGUUUAAAAUAUAGAUGCAAAAGAAGAGACCUGUUUGGAAUCCAGCAUGGAUAAUCUGAUAGAGGAAAAAAAAAAGGAAUCUAAGAAAGCCUUCUGUACCAGAAUACAGAGGGGAUCAUGGCCAAACCCAACCAUUCAGCAGGCCCGCAUUACACCAGACAGAUAUUCCAAGUUUCUUCCAGGAGAGAAGGGGUUGAAAGCCGGAGCCAAAGUGAAAUGAACACAGAUCUCUCUUUGGAAAUGAUUGAGAAGAACUGGUGAAUUGGACUUCUUGGCAUCUGCUCUUUACAUCUAUGGGCGAUUUUGAAGAUCUUGGCCUAGCAAGAUGGCAGCGGGUUUUAAAAUGGGAUUCCCAUGAAGUUAACACUUUUU